CUGGCGGAGGGGGAAGCGCUGAGUUCCGCCCCGCCGCGGGCUCGGCACGGCCCGGAGCGGGGGGGACACACACCGGGGACGCUCGACACCGGGAACGGGACACACACACAUGGGGACAGAGCCGGGGGUCAGCGCGCCCGUCGGAGGUGGCGGAGGCGAGACUCGAACUGUCAACCUCGGCGCUGGGGGGGCGGCGCCCUCCUCGCUGCGCCACCGGAGCGGUACCGGGAGGAGCGUUUGCACAUGACGAGCGGGAGCAGCAACCAGUGACCGGGAAUGUGGGUGCUGGAGCCCCCCCGGAGACACCCCCGAGUUCCGGCCCCUGAGGGGCAGCUCCGCGGUUCCUCCAGGAGCUGAUUCCUGACCCAGUGUACGUCCAGGGGCGGGAAAAGGGAGUGCUUUCCCGCCCCGUAUGCUAAUGAGGUGUAUGCAAAUGA